UCUGAAGCCUCGGGGCGCUCUCCUCCCCCUCGCCUGCCCCCUAGCUCCUCCGCCGGCGUGGGGGCUGCCUGCGCCCUCAGGGUCCGCCCGCCCUCCACCAAAGCGCAGCCCUGGAACACUGUUUUAAUUCACACCAUACCCUGAGAAGGCACCAAGAAAUCUGACAAGAACGAAGCCACUAGGAGCAUGGCCACUAUUGUUUCAUGUUUGGAAGAACAACGCGUUACGAGAAUACUUUCAACGCAAUGACAUUUGUUCAAGAUUAUGAAAAAAUUUGAAUCCUUUCUCUCAAGACCAUUUCCUUUCGAAUUUAUACAGUUUGUUGCGUCAGCCCACCAAAGGAAAGC